rnacentral:rRNA from 1 species
GGAAAANCUUACGGAACAAGCCCGGGUUAAGGAAGAAAGCUCUUGGGUUNUUAACCUUUUUUUUUAGGGAAAAAANNAAUGACGGUACCUGAGGAAUAAGCCUCGGCUAACUCCGUGCCAGCAGCCGCGGUAAUACGGAGGAGGCAAGCGUUAUCCGGAAUUAUUGGGCGUAAAGCGUCCGUAGGUGGUUAUUCAAGUCUUUUGUUAAAUAGUGGNGCUUAACUCNAUAAAGGCGGNAGAAACUGAGUAACUNGAGUGUGGUAGGGGUAGAGGGAAUUCCNGGUGUAGCGGUGAAAUGCGUAGAUAUCUGGAANAACAUNAGUGG